rnacentral:rRNA from 1 species
AGAGUUUGAUCCUGGCUCAGAUUGAACGUUGGCGGCAGGCCUAAAACAUGCAAGUCGAACGGUAACAGCGGAAGCUUGCUUCCGGCUGACGAGUGGCGGACGGGUGAGUAACACGUAGGAAUCUACCUAGUAGUGGGGGACAACCCGGGGAAACCCGGGCUAAUACCGCAUACGCUCUACGGAGGAAAGCGGGGGAUCUUCGGACCUCGCGCUAUUGGAGGAGCCUGCGUCGGAUUAGCUAGUUGGUGGGGUAAAGGCCUACCAAGGCGACGAUCCGUAGCUGGUCUGAGAGGACGAUCAGCCACACUGGAACUGAGACACGGUCCAGACUCCUACGGGAGGCAGCAGUUAGGAAUCUUGGGCAAUGGGCGCAAGCCUGACCCAGCCAUGCCGCGUGUGUGAAGAAGGCCUUCGGGUUGUAAAGCACUUUCAGCGGUGAAGAAAAGCUCAGGGCCAAUAUCCUUGAGUCUUGACGUUAACCGCAGAAGAAGCACCGGCUAACUCCGUGCCAGCAGCCGCGGUAAUACGGAGGGUGCGAACGUUAAUCGGAAUCACUGGGCGUAAAGCGCGCGUAGGCGGUUUGUUAAGUGGGAUGUGAAAGCCCCGGGCUUAACCUGGGAAUUGCAUUUCAAACUGGCGAACUAGAGUGCGGUAGAGGGAGGUAGAAUUUCCUGUGUAGCGGUGAAAUGCGUAGAUAUAGGAAGGAAUACCAGUGGCGAAGGCGGCCUCCUGGAUCGACACUGACGCUAAGGCGCGAAAGCGUGGGGAGCAAACAGGAUUAGAUACCCUAGUAGUCC